rnacentral:misc_RNA from 1 species
GUGCAAACACUAGUUUAUUAAAGGUUCAAUUGAACAUAAAAUAAAAGUUUUGUAUUCAAUUAAACAAAAUGUAACGUGAAUGGCUCAAUUGCACAUUUCCCACAAGUAUUCAUAUGCAUUAAGCCAAAAUAAAUCUGACCACGAAAUUUCAUCAUAUGGAGUCUCUAACCUCUCAUUCGACAAAUGACAACAAUAUCUAAAAUCAAUUCCAGUCACCAUUUCUAACUCUGAUUCACUGCAACAUUCAGAUUCCCAUAUCUUUGCAUCACUCUCCUAGUCGCAAGGGCCGCAGCUUCACUUGCACGCAAUGUACCAGUAGCCAUGAUUGCAGCAAAUUCACGACUGAUCUCCUCCUGCACCUUGCUCCGAGCAUCCCCAAAAGUGUCGCCUGCAACCCCAUUGAUCGACUGCCUCUCUACUCUUGAAGGUUUGACAGCAGGAGGUACUGCCUUCUCUGAUACUGUUUUCUCCUCAGACUUGGUGUCUUCAGAUUUUACCUCCUCAUUGCUCACACUAACAACUGUGUGUGUGGAUGCACUAGGACCAUUAACUGAGGAUUUAUGAACAGCUAUUGAUGACUGAGGCCUGAAUUGCGGAGCUUGUGGGACAGCUCCAGCUCUCAAUGUUGUCUCUAGAUUUUGUAUCAUUGGCACUGCAAUUCAAAAUACCAAGCUAGAUAAUCAACCACUAAAACAAACGAUGAAAAGUAUGACUGUUAAUCACUGGAAUUUACCAAACCAUUGGACAAUCUAUCAGAAUUCAUAAUGACAAUGUCCAUACAAGUUGAUAAAAUUUUAAGUUCCAGAAAGUAUUACAGAAUUCAGAAAUCAGUAGACCAAUUUGCUUAUUUUAAACAACAGCGAAAAGAUAAAUUCUCUCAUCCAAAAAUCAUUUGCUGUAGUAUUUGCUUAGCCAUCAAGAAAAAAUUCAGAAUCAAGAUUAUUCAUUUAAAAUCAGGAAAAAACUAGAAUACAGUAAAAAGCAUUAGAAAGUAAUCCAUAUUUCCAUACUACAGAUAAAUAAAGCGAUAUAGGCAAAAAGUAAAGGUUGGUGGCAACUCACUUAUAAGAGCACCCAUUGGACUGCUCAUAACUUCAUUAGGGAGCUGAAGAAUAUAUUCUGGAAUGGUUGCACCCACCAAAAAUUGUGCAACCUCAUUGCUGAAGUUGUUACAAUUGUUAGUAAGCAAACUGUAUGUUUCAGCAGUAUAGCGGGGGCUAAUUUCCUGCAAAUACACCUCAAAAACAUCUUUUGGUACAUGUGUGAUGCCCAAAUCUACCACUUUAAUUGGUGUUCCAUAUGGAGUUCUUCCAGCAGGGUCAUGCUGUAUGCCUCCCCCAAAAUAGUAUUCAUUACCAUAUACCACUACUCCUGUGUGCCUACCAUACAAGAACAAAUAACUCAGACUGCAAAUAAGAAAAAGGAACAGAAUAAUUAACUGCUAUGAACCUUGUAGGUUUUAAUGGCACAACAUGAAGGAAACAUGUUAACAACCUUUGAAAGUAAUAAUCUUAGUAACUUCAGUAAAUAAAAGUUGGAUUUUAGCCUGUUUCGACACACUAUGAUGUUGAUCUUAUUGACAACUUACUUUGACCCAGGAAUAUAUCUUCAUAAAGCAAAAGGACACAGGACAACAGAACUAAAAUUAAGAUCAUACACACUCUACAUCUCAAUUAAAUGCCACACAAUGCUUCCUAGUUGGAUAGGACAAGAAAAAUAAAAAGUAGAACAUGCCCAUAAACAACAUAGAGACCCAAUAAGAAUAAUUUUGGGAAGCACAAAGGAGGUUACUCCUGUGGCCCCGCUAGGCGGUGGGAGGACCUUGAGAGUAAUGUAUUCUAAGUAGAGAAGCUAAUUGGUUGGAACAUCCCUCAACAUGGUUACUGUAAAGUAAACAUAAAUGCUUUCAGGCUUGUUUGGGAAUACCUACACCUAGUGGCCUUAUUGGAGACCAUAUGCGAGCUUCUAUCUAUCCAGAACUGUAAUUGAGUCCAAGUUGAGUUGUGGAGGGUCUUCCAAGGCUUAUCUUGCAUGGGAUAAAGAAUGUAGGAGUUAUUUUGGAGAUUGAUAGCUCAAGUGUUGUUACUGUGUUGAAGAAAGCCAACUACAAUACUACGUUGCUAACUACAAUACUACAUUGCUAAGGAAUAAGCUUGGUGAGAAGUUAACCUAAAUAGUCUAUUCCUCACAUGGUUCAACCUUAGCGCCUCAUGGUGCUCAACAAUUUAUACCAAUUGAUAUCAGAGCUAACUUCAUCUUGCAAGACUUGACAAAUGGUGGCUUAUAAAAAGAUGGCUCACGAAAUAGUGGCCUAAACUUAUUGUGUAAGGAAAUGAGUAGGGUGCUAGGGUGCUAGCUGUGACUGUAAUCAACAUGGGUGAAUUCUACCUAAAUGGCCUAUUCCUCACAUGGUUCAAUCUUAAUAACUCGUGAUGCUCAAUAGUUCAUAUCACAUGGUUCGGUAAAUAGAAUUCAUCAGCUGCUGUACAAAAAUUGGGAGGCUGAUAUUAGGCAAAGCUAAAGAGAAAUGAGUAAGCAGACAAGUUAGCCAACCAAAAAGUGUACUUUCCACCAUGCCUUCAUGCACUUCAUCAACCCCAUGCUUAUGGAUGGCAUUAAGAGAUGUAGCUCUUCCUAGAAUUGUGCCUGUAGUUUACAUCACGGCUUUAGCCCCCAUUUGCAAGAUUAGCCUUUCUUCUAGUCUAUUUAGAUAAAAGCCUGUCCAGCUAAUAAAAGUACAGGUUAGCCUCACUGACAUUCCAUAGCAGUGACGCGUUUUCUCGUUUUUUUUUGUUUCAGGCUAACCAACUCAUAAGCAUACUUGUUCACACAGUAAAUUUGCAUAGUGUGAACAUACUGCCAAUCUCUGCCUAUAAUAAACUUUUGAUCUAGGAGCCUUUAAUUUCUAAUGGGGUGUGCAUGUGUGUAACGCGAUUUAGUAAGUUAUGCACAUAUUCAAGUGUUAACAAGGAGUGUUUGUAUUAAGUGUUUAGCUUACCCUAGAAAUUUCUUUGCAAUCCUAUAAAUAUGUAAUUUGGAAUUUUAUAGUGAUAAUGAAUAAUAUACUUCUUUCUCAAAUUUAAGUUUCUGGAUCUAAAACUUGUGAUUGUGGCCAUCAAGGUUUAGUUGAGUGCUCCUUUUUAUUCCUAUUCACUGCAACAACUUUUAAACUCAAAUAACAAUAUUCGAUGGAUACAGAUAAUGAUGGCAAAUGGCAUAGGUUUGACUUUCCAGAUUUCUAGAUGCAAAUAUACCAUAUCCAGACACUAGGCCUUCGUUUUCCUCCCUGUACUGAAAACUUACCAAAUUCCCUCAACAGCUUUACCCAAAAAUGUCGUUGAAAGCUGGCGUGCCAAUCCUUGGCUGAGAUCAUACACAUUCAAGGUAACCCUGUGACCCUCCUGCCACCAGUUUAAAUUUACAAGCAGUAAUCAACACAUUACUGAAAAUGCCACUGGGAGUCAAUUACUAGUACAUCAUGCAGAGACUCAAAAUUUUAUGAUAUAACAGCAUUGCAUACCUCCGCCAUCUCCCAAUAAAUAAACUUCAACUACAAGUCCUUAGCAACGUAAAAGAUUUAUCAACCGAUAACGAUGGUCUCUCCAAAUCUCAGAGAAUAAAAUAUGGCCUUCGGCUUCGGGAAACUUAAGAAUUGUUCGCGCAAACGCAGGCCAUCAAACAGGCAACCUUCUCCUUUUAUAAUUGGGAAAAGGGCCCCCAAAGGCUCUCUACAACGACUUCGGC